rnacentral:pre_miRNA from 1 species
AAUAAGUGCAGUCGUAGAUAUUCGUGCUCAACGUUUGACCGUCCGUCUUAUUUGAAAAAUUUGAAAAUAUUUAGUCACACAUAAAGUAUUAUUUAUGUUUUAUCAUCUAAUAGCAAUAAAAAUACUAAUUAUAAAAAAAAUUAAAUAAGACGAACGGUUAAACGUUGAAUGUGAAUAGUGCAAAACUGUACUUAUU